UGGCGGACGGGUGAGUAAUGUCUGGGAAACUGCCCGAUGGAGGGGGAUAACUACUGGAAACGGUAGCUAAUACCGCAUAACGUCGCAAGACCAAAGAGGGGACCUUCGGGCCUCUUGCCAUCGGGUGUGCCCAGAUGGGAUUAGCUAGUAGGUGGGGUAACGGCUCACCUAGGCGACGAUCCCUAGCUGGUCUGAGAGGAUGACCAGCCACACUGGAACUGAGACACGGUCCAG
rnacentral:rRNA from 1 species